UACGGGGGAGCAAGCGUUGUUCGGAUUUACUGGGCGUAAAGGGCGCGUAGGCGGUCAGCACAAGUCAGUUGUGAAAUCUCCGGGCUUAACUCGGAAAGGUCAACUGAUACUGUGCGACUAGAGUGCAGAAGGGGCAACUGGAAUUCUCGGUGUAGCGGUGAAAUGCGUAGAUAUCGAGAGGAACACCUGCGGCGAAGGCGGGUUGCUGGGCUGACACUGACGCUGAUGCGCGAAAGCUAGGGGAGCGAACGGG
rnacentral:rRNA from 1 species